GGAAGACAUGAAAACGAAAGAUGUUGAAAAAAGACGCUUCAUUUGGACACCUGAGUUGUUCCUAACUGGGAUUUGUACUUAUGCCUCUCUGGUUCUUAACCGUUCAACGUGUUUGCGAUUUAGCCGAUCUUGAAUAUUUAUUCCAAACUGUGCUUUGCGAAAACCCAUAUUCGAAGAGUGCGAGAGUGUGCUGCUCACAAGAAACCGCCACCUUCGCCACCUGCAGCACCGCGAUCGCAUCGCAUUGGGGAUUUAUUUUAAAUUCUCUGUUUUUAUUACGCUUCGCAUGGGUCGGGUACGGGACGGGACGGGUACCUGCCUACCUAUACCUACUUACGUACACAUGGGACUGGCUGGCUGGUGUGUGAGGCAAAGACGGCAGAGAGAACCCGUCGUCGUUUAUUUUAUGCCCAAGCCAAAGCAGGUUUUCGACCAACUCGUUCAACUUCGCCUUGACUGCUGCCAGCCAACCGACCGAAGCGACCCGACCGACCGACACGAGCAGCACGAACUGCGUCAGCUCCUCCAGUCAGUGCUAGUUUAGCCGUGGUGACAAUAGACAGCACGGUGUUGUCUUUUCCCGCGAUCGAGAAGCGCGCGCGCGAGAUCCGAGAUAUUCUGAAUCGUUUGUUGGUCAAGAAAAGUGAAGCGUUGAUUGAUUCGGACGUGAAGGUCUCCCCAAACAACCGAAAAAUUGCCGUGAGAUUGAUCGAUGCGUGUGCCUACGCGCAUACAUUGUGGUCAGUGCCGCGUUUGGUCACACUGUGGUGAUGGUGGGUGCCUCUAUAACCCCUUGGAGAUUUGUGCAAUAAUCUACGACGACGGCCGUCAGUGACCUUAGGUUUGAACCGCGCGAUUACACUUGCCGCGCCACACUGGCUGGUAUGGCGAAUCUGAAAAGGCGGCAACCAUGACAACGACGUUCCAUCGUGAUAAAUCUGUUUAAGCCAUUUGGCCUAGUGCGACCAGCAUCAGCAGCCAGAGCCUUUUACUCUCCUAAUGGGAUGUACGCGAGUGCGAAAGUGAUUUUUAUAUUAAGAAGGUGCUUAUUGAGUGCGUGUACUGUGAGUGAUCAACACCAAAGCAAGAGCCAAGAGUCGCUACUGGUGAUAAUGGGAGUUUAAUCCAAUUUGUGAUAAUAAAUCAGUUCGUUUACAUCGCACCGUGCUGCGUUGCGUGAGCUGCAGUAGUGUCUUGAUACAAUCACGAUCCGCCACCUUAACGGAAGAAUAGCGGAUUUGAACGAGCUUGUAAACGAAAUAAUAGCAGUCGUCUUAAUUUGGAGCUACACGCAUGGCGUACACAUUGGAGUAGCGGGAUUGCCGACAAGAGAGCAUUUGUCAAACCUACCAGCACCGUUCUAAUCAGCCGUUACGAUCAUAGCAUAUGAGUGAAAUGAACACGCGGCGCCACCAGCGAGGCAACAUUAACCUUCUAAGGUGUCCAAGAAAAUUACAAACGUUGCAGCAACAAGGCUCCCAAUAAUUAAUAAGCGAACAUGCUCUACCACUACUGACUGACGGACACCAGAACGGACACCGAUCAAUGACACACCGAUGCCCACGUUGACCAAUAACCGGAGGCCCGUCGUAACGACCAGAGCAUAUUUAAGGACCAUAUUAGCCAAUAAAUGCAAUCGCUAAUUAGCUAGAUAAUCAAACACCGCACAGCAGCGGCGCUACUGAAAAUGUGCCGAGUGUAAAGCGCAGACUACCGCCGGAGAGCCCCCAGAAGGGAAGGUGUGCUCAGGUGCCCGAAAGGCCCCCAGAGGCUUUUAGACAGAGAAUAUAGUGUGUAAUUAAACCGGCAUAGAGCUGCCGGAGGAAACCCACAAAAUAUCGCAGAAAAAGCACAAGCCAUGACGACGACGACGAAACCCGGCAGCAGAUCGGCAGCGAUGCUGAGCAGGCACCUGCAUUCAUACCUGAUCGCCCUCAUAGUGUUAGUUAGCUGCUGCUUAGAUAGGAUUGACAGUUGGACGCCAGAUGUCCUGACCAAGUCAUACAUUACAUACGGUAAGUGACAACCAACCUUUUUUUUCGAUGCAUCCAUGCGGGAGAUUACGCUGCAUCAUUUUACGAUCGAUCGCAUUUACCCCUAUGAGAAGCGUCCGUCGCCGCCUAAUUAGGAAGUGGUCGUGUGGCUUGCCCCUUAUUCAGACAUUCGAUAUCUUUUUCAUCGAAAUUUUAUUAUCCCACAUGAUCAGCAGCGCAAUGACUUCCGAUUCGUGUAUCUUUUUUUCGCUGACGGCUGUUGCUCAUACAAGAUCCCCAGUAGCAUUGUGUUUUAUGAUCUUGCUCGUUUCGUUGCGUUCCGUUAGUUGAUCGCUUCCGGCGACUUUCGUACGGCUUCUGUCUCGAUAUCGGUGUAGCUUUGCAUGUUUGCAGUUUCGUAGAUGCUGCAGUUCAUUUUCAUAAAGCCAGGGGGACAAAUGGGCAUGCAAACAAUGCGUUACUUGAGGAUCGUAAACACGUUUU